rnacentral:lncRNA from 1 species
GGAAGCAGCAGCGGGUACAACAUCAUCAUCAUCACACCGUACGUCCAUGUGUGUAAUGCUGCCUGACUGAGACAUAUCCCUGUUAUCUACAUUAUCUGGCAAUAAUGGUUGCGCAUCACUCAUUUCUUCCAAUUGAUGUGUAAAUAACUCCUCUGACAUACCAAGUGAAGCUGCUGUGGUGCUAGUGUUGGUGGUGGCGGCAGGCGGGCGAGUGGUAACUUGAGAGGUGCCCAAAGC